UCUUCUAUAUCUUCUUCUACCAGCAACCAAAAUUGCACGAGGAUAAGUUUCAACUAAGGAAGUCAAUUAUCAUGCCGUCACAGCCAUGAGAAGGGAAGCUUCUCGUCAUCUUGAAAACUCUACCGACUUCCUCAAUCGCCUCUACUCUUGAUUCUCCUAAGCCAUGUAAUUUUGUUAAUAUCAUCAAAGAAUGAACGCAAGGUGACAAACGAGGAGGUUCUUCAAAGGUAUGAUCAUAAAAGUUCUCAUUUAUUUACUGGUAAGUCUCUUUUGAUUCAUCUAAUGCGUGGGUUAAUUUAGUCUCAUUACUUCUGCAACUGCAGGUAUGUUUUCUGUCUAACUAUAUUUAGAUCUAUACACUAUAGUUGCUUUUUGCAUUAACAAUUUCUGUAUAUAUAAGUGAUUUCCAAAGCAUUAUGAUUUUGAAGCAACAAGUUAAUGGAUUGAAUCCGGUUAGGCCUGGGAUAUAAUUGAGUAGGGAUUGUGUCUCCCUUGGGUGAAAGACCCUAAACCUGAUUGGGGCUCGUGGAUUCGAGCAGGUAAUUAAGUAGGGAUUGUGCCUCCCUAGGGUGAAAGACCCAAAACCCAAUUAGGAUUCCGCUUAGUACAGGGUGUUAUCAACUGGGUUAUUAUCCUGCAUUAUCUGUACGAGUUAUCCCACUGAUAGGUACUUCUAGCAGUUCAUUGACGUUGGAAACAUGGUUUCUCCCACAUUUUUUGCCCGGCGUAGUUUGUCUUAUCUCAUGGAUGAGAUGCCUCAGGAGGCUCUAAAUGAUGCAAUGCAAGUCAAGUAAUUUCCCCAAUAUGGCACAUUGCAUCUUAUCUGCAGGUUUUUUGUAGUUAUUUAUGUUGUUAUUAUAUGCAGCAGAGAUGUCUAAAAUAGAACUAGCUAGAAUAGUUAUAUGCUAGGCAAACAGUUUACUA